AACGAACGCUGGCGGCAGGCCUAACACAUGCAAGUCGAGCGCACCCUUCGGGGUGAGCGGCGGACGGGUGAGUAACGCGUGGGAACGUGCCCUUCUCUGCGGAAUAGCCUCGGGAAACUGAGAGUAAUACCGCAUACGCCCUUUGGGGGAAAGAUUUAUCGGAGAAGGAUCGGCCCGCGUUGGAUUAGGUAGUUGGUGGGGUAAUGGCCCACCAAGCCGACGAUCCAUAGCUGGUUUGAGAGGAUGAUCAGCGACACUGGGACUGAGACACGGCCCAGACUCCUACGGGAGGCAGCAGUGGGGAAUCUUAGACAAUGGGGGCAACCCUAAUCUAGCCAUGCCGCGUGAGUGAUGAAGGCCUUAGGGUUGUAAAGCUCUUUCAGCUGGGAAGAUAAUGACGGUACCAGCAGAAGAAGCCCCGGCUAACUCCGUG
rnacentral:rRNA from 1 species